ACGCAAUAGAUACCCGGGUAGUCCACGCCGUAAACGAUGAGUGCUAAGUGUUAGAGGGUUUCCGCCCUUUAGUGCUGCAGCUAAACGCAUUAAGCACUCCGCCUGGGGAGUACGGUCGCAAGACUGAAACUCAAAGGAAUUGACGGGGGCCCGCACAAGCGGUGGAGCAUGUGGUUUAAUUCGAAGCAACGCGAAGAACCUUACCAGGUCUUGACAUCCUCUGACAACUCUAGAGAUAGAGCGUUCCCCUUCGGGGGACAGAGUGACAGGUGGUGCAUGGUUGUCGUCAGCUCGUGUCGUGAGAUGUUGGGUUAAGUCCCGCAACGAGCGCAACCCUUGAUCUUAGUUGCCAGCAUUUAGUUGGGCACUCUAAGGUGACUGCCGGUGACAAACCGGAGGAAGGUGGGGAUGACGUCAAAUCAUCAUGCCCCUUAUGACCUGGGCUACACACGUGCUACAAUGGAUGGUACAAAGGGCUGCAAGACCGCGAGGUCAAGCCAAUCCCAUAAAACCCAUUCUCAGUUCGGAUUGUA
rnacentral:rRNA from 1 species